rnacentral:lncRNA from 1 species
CUUCCUGCUAAAGAGAUGGAGCGGGACAGGGCCGUCUUGUUCUGGAGCUGGAGAUCCCCGAACUGGACUCCCAUGGGGGAGACUGAGGCCAGAUCCUAGGAAGGACUUUCCAGUCCGAAUGAUAGUCUUCACCCAAGAGCUUGGCAGAUGGACCCCAGUGAACUAUGCAACACAGCCAGCAUCCAUGGCCAUUGCUUCCCUGCCUUCAACUACAGGGAAAUGGAAUGCGCAUUCACAAAAUGCGACUGUGUCUCACAAGAGAACUCCUGAGAACUGAGUGAGCAAGUUUAAUUAUGUGCAUUGCUGGAGUUCCAGGUCUUUCCUCUGGAGGACAUUCCCCCCUAAAGUUGCUGACGUCUGAUUCUUACUGGAUUUCAGAAGGCAAGUGAACCAGAGGAAGCCAAAACCUCUGCCAGUUAACAGGAUAACCAAUUAACCAAACCAGUGAGAGGGAACACGGGAAUGCCCAAAUCUAGCUUUGGAGUUCCAUCUUCAUUCUUCCAGCAGUUAGCAAGGAGCACAUGUGACAUAGGCCAGACUGGUAAUUCCUGAAUCACUAGGCUUUGCAAGGUUCUAAAUCCUAUUUAUUGAGCUGCAUGGACUGUGCCUCUGACCCAGAAGGGAAAGUAGGCCCAGGUUACAUGCUGACAUAAGGAAAGAAUAAUUUUGUGUUCCAAGUAAGCUGAAGGGAUCCCCAUGGCAGAGGCCAUUCAUUGUCCCUAACUAGCUCUCCCUCUGUCCCCCUCCCCUCGCUAUAUAUAUAUAUAUAUAUAUAUUUUUUUUUUUUUGGCUACGCUGGGUUUUCAUUGUAGCACAUGGGUCUCUAGUUGUGGUGUGCAGGCUAAGUUCCCCAACCAGGGAUCAAACCCAUUUCCCCUGCAUUGGGAGGCAGAUUAUCAACCACUGGACAAUCAGAGAAGUCCCAUUCUUCACUAUUUAAAAGUAAUAGAAUUUUAGGUGGGCACAUAGCCUCCUGGAGAAAAAAAAAUUAUUUUCCCAGCUUCCUUUGCAGCGAGUUGUGGCAUAUGACUAAGUUCUGGUCAGUGGAAUGUAAGUAGAAGUCUUGCAUGGAACUUCUGGGAAGUAUCCUUAAGAGGAGUGGUCUUUCUCUGUUCCUUUUAACAUUUAUUUAGAAUCUAGUCCUGAUGGCUGGAGCUCAUGCAGCCAUCUG